UAGGGAAUCUUCCGCAAUGGACGCAAGUCUGACGGAGCAACGCCGCGUGAGUGAAGAAGGAUUUCGGUUCGUAAAACUCUGUUGUUAGAGAAGAACAGCGCAUAGAGUAACUGUUAUGCGUGUGACGGUAUCUAACCAGAAAGCCACGGCUAACUACGUGCCAGCAGCCGCGGUAAUACGUAGGUGGCAAGCGUUGUCCGGAUUUAUUGGGCGUAAAGCGAGCGCAGGCGGUCAAUUAAGUCUGAUGUGAAAGCCCCCGGCUCAACCGGGGAGGGUCAUUGGAAACUGGUUGACUUUAGUGCAGAAGAGGAGAGUGGAAUUCCAUGUGUAGCGGUGAAAUGCGUAGAUAUAUGGAGGAACACCAGUGGCGAAGGCGACUCUCUGGUCUGUAACUGACGCUGAGGCUCGAAAGCGUGGGUAGCAAACAGG
rnacentral:rRNA from 1 species